rnacentral:lncRNA from 1 species
AAACAUGUCCGAUCUGCCUAUUUCUGCACAUCAAAAGUCAAUACGAUCGUUUUAAAGUCAAUUUCGUCUACCUCACAAAAUCUUGUUAGGCACUAUAGUUGAAUGUGGGUUUCUUAUACUCGAACGGCAAGGUUUUACUAUAAAACAUGUUUACAGUACAGCCUGUGACUUCCUCUUAGUUAUGUCCACCCUCUUGUAUGGUCACCUUUAAAUUGUGACCAUUUAUUGGGGUAUUCAAUCUUGAGAUGCUGGCCAUUUAUUG